rnacentral:rRNA from 1 species
UCUUGAAACACGGACCAAGGAGUCUAACAUGUACGCGAGUCAUUGGGACUUUUUAUAAGCCUAAAGGCGCAAUGAAAGUGAAGGUCGACCCUAGCGUCGACCGAGGGAGGAUGGCUCGCGUCACGAUGCGAGUCCGCACUCCCGGGGCGUCUCGUGCUCAUUGCGAGCAGAGGCGCACCUAGAGCGUACACGUUGGGACCCGAAAGAUGGUGAACUAUGCCUGGUCAGGACGAAGUCAGGGGAAACCCUGAUGGAGGUCCGUAGCGAUUCUGACGUGCAAAUCGAUCGUCGGAACUGGGUAUAGGGGCGAAAGACUAAUCGAACCAUCUAGUAGCUGGUUCCCUCCGAAGUUUCCCUCAGGAUAGCUGGCACUCGCUUGAGCGAGUCUCAUCUGGUAAAGCGAAUGAUUAGAGGCCUUGGGGCCGAAACGACCUCAACCUAUUCUCAAACUUUAAAUGGGUGAGAUGACUGGCUUGCUUGAACGUUGAAGCCAUGUCAGACAUUAAAGCGAAGGAUCAGAGUGCCAAGUGGGCCAAUUUUGGUAAGCAGAACUGGCGC